GACGAACGCUGGCGGCGUGCUUAACACAUGCAAGUCGAACGAAGUGGCGAACGGGUGAGUAACGCGUAAUCAACCUGCCCUUCAGAGGGGGACAAAAGUUGGAAACGACUGCUAAUACCACAUACUGAAGGAGGGGAUUUCGUGUGAUUAGCUAGUUGGAGGGGUAACGGCUCACCAAGGCGAUGAUCAGCAGCCGGGCCGAACAGAUUAACGGCCACAUUGGGACUGGGAAACGGCCCAGAAUCCUACGGGAGGCAGCAGUGGGGAAUCUUCCGCAAAGGAGGAAAGUCUGACGGAGGAACGCCGGGGGAGUGAUGACGGCCUUCGGGAUGUAAAGCUCUGUUAAUCGGGACGCGGUACCGGAAUAGAAAGCCACGGCUAACUACGUGCCAGCAGCCGCGGUAAUUC
rnacentral:rRNA from 1 species